rnacentral:rRNA from 1 species
CGAACGGGAUUUUCCGCGUUCAAGUCGCAAGAUGAGAACGCGGGAAUGAGAGUGGCGGAAGGGUGAGUAACACGUGGGUAAUCUACCUUCAAGUUUGGUAUAACCUGCCGAAAGGCGGACUAAUCCCGAAUGUGAUCGCGCCGCGCAUGCGGUGCUGUUUAAAGGCGGGGACCCGCAAGGGCCUGUCGCUUGAAGUUGAGCCCGCGUCCUAUCAGCUUGUUGGUGAGGUAACGGCUCACCAAGGCUUACGGGUAGCUGGUCUGAGAGGAUGGUCAGCCACACUGGGACUGAGAUACUGCCCAGACUCCUACGGGAGGCUGCAGUCGAGGAUCAUUUGCAAUGGGCGCAAGCCUGACAAUGCGACGCUGCGUGGAGGAUGAAGGCCUUCGGGUUGUAAACUCCUGUCAUUUGGGAACAAUAUCGGGAGGAGUAAUAUCCCUUCCGGUUGAUGGUACCAGAAGAGGAAGUCACGGCUAACUCUGUGCCAGCAGCCGCGGUGAUACAGAGGUGGCAAGCGUUGUUCGGAUUUAUUGGGCGUAAAGGAUGCGUAGGUGGUUUUGCAUGUCAGAUGUGAAAGCUCACUGCUCAACGGUGAAACGGCAUUUGAAACUGUAGGACUAGAGUACAGGAGAGGAGAGUGGAAUUCUUGGUGUAGCGGUGAAAUGCGCAGAUAUCAAGAGGAACACCGGUGGCGAAAGCGACUCUCUGGACUGAUACUGACACUGAGGCAUGAAAGCUGGGGGAGCAGACAGGAUUAGAUACCCUGGUAGUCCCAGCCUUAAACGGUGUACACUUGGUGUGGGAGGAUUUGACCCCUCCUGUGCCGGAGCCAACGCGUUAAGUGUACCGCCUGAGGAGUACGGCCGCAAGGUUAAAACUCAAAGAAAUUGACGGGGGCCCGCACAAGCGGAGGAGCAUGUGGCUUAAUUCGAUGCAACGCGAAGAACCUUACCAGGACUUGACAUGCAACUGCACGUCCCGUGAAAGUGGGACUCCUUCGAGGGUGUUGCACAGGUGCUGCAUGGCUGUCGUCAGUUCGUGCCGUGAGGUGUUGGGUUAAGUCCCGCAACGAACGCAACCCUUGUGUUUAGUUGCCACCGCCGGUGAUGAGCCGGCGAGCACUCUAGACAGACUGCCCAUA